rnacentral:lncRNA from 1 species
UCCACUUGUUAAGCACUAUAGCCUUAGGGAAGUUAUGCCCCAGAAGACUCAGCUUCCCUGCUUUGUAAUGGGAUAAUAAGAAUGCCUCCCUUGGCCAGGCUCAAUGACUCAUGCCUGUAAUUCCAGCACUUUGGGAGGCCUAGGCAGGCAAAUCACUUGAGGUCAGGAGUUUGAGACCAGCCUGGCCAACAUGGUGAAACCCCGUCUCUACUAAAAAUACAAAAAUUUCCUGGGAUUGGUAGUGGGCACCUGUAAUCCUAACUACUCAGGAGGCUGAGGCAGGAGAAUCACUUCAACCCAGGAGGCAGAGGUUGCAGUGAGCUGAGAUCAUGCCACUGCACUCCAUCCUGGGUGACAGAGCGAGGCUCCAUCUCAAAAAGAAAAAAAAGAAAAAGAAUACCUGCCUUCUGGAGGAGUCACAAGAAUUAAAUACAUUUUUAUAUGAAUUAGUAAAGUGUUAAGAGCUUGGGCAUGGAGUCAAGCACAGGGGUUCAAAUUCCAUUGCUUCUUAAAAGCAUAACCUUCAGUGAGUUACUUCCACUGUUUAAUCAUCACACAACCACCCAUUUGCAUAAAUGGAGCUCUCGCCCUGCCUCCAUUUGCCUUGUGAUAUUCUAUUACCUUGUGAAGCAUGUGAUCUCUGUGACCCACACCCUAUUCAUACACUCCCUCCCCUUUUGAAAAUCACUAAUAAAAACUUGCUGUUUUACGGCUCGCGGGGCAUCAUGGAACCUGCUGACAUGUGAUGUCUCCCCCAGACACCCAACUUUAA